AGCGGCGGACGGGUGAGUAACGCGUGAGCAAUCUGUCCCAGACAGGGGGAUAACAGGUGGAAACAUCUGCUAAUACCGCAUAAGACCACGAGGUCACAUGAUCUUGAGGUAAAAGGAGAAAUCCGGUUUGGGGUGAGCUCGCGUCUGAUUAGCUAGUUGGUGAGGUAAAGGCCCACCAAGGCGACGAUCAGUAGCCGACCUGAGAGGGUGAUCGGCCACAUUGGAACUGAGACACGGUCCAAACUCCUACGGGAGGCAGCAGUGGGAAUAUUGGGCAAUGGGCGAAAGCCUGACCCAGCAACGCCGCGUGAGGGAAGAAGGUUUUCGGAUUGUAAACCUCUGUCCUCAGGGACGAAGGAAGUGACGGUACCUGAGGAGGAAGCCCCGGCUAACUACGUGCCAGCAGCCGCGGUAAUACGUAGGGGGCAAGCGUUGUCCGGAAUGACUGGGCGUAAAGGGCGUGUAGGCGGCCGAUUAAGUAUGGAGUGAAAGUCCACUUUUCAAGGGUGGAAUUGCUUUGUAGACUGGUUGGCUUGAGUGCGGAAGAGGUAAGUGGAAUUCCCAGUGUAGCGGUGAAAUGCGUAGAGAUUGGGAGGAACACCAGUGGCGAAGGCGACUUACUGGGCCGUAAC
rnacentral:rRNA from 1 species